UACGUAGGGUGCAAGCGUUAAUCGGAAUUACUGGGCGUAAAGCGUGCGCAGGCGGUUGUGCAAGACAGAUGUGAAAUCCCCGGGCUUAACCUGGGAAUUGCAUUUGUGACUGCACGGCUAGAGUGUGUCAGAGGGGGGUAGAAUUCCACGUGUAGCAGUGAAAUGCGUAGAUAUGUGGAGGAAUACCGAUGGCGAAGGCAGCCCCCUGGGAUAACACUGACGCUCAUGCAGGCAAG
rnacentral:rRNA from 1 species